rnacentral:rRNA from 1 species
UGGCGACCGGCGCACGGGUGAGUAACGCGUAUCCAACCUGCCCUUUACUAUGGGACAGCCCGUCGAAAGGCGGAUUAAUACCGUAUGUUGUCAUGUUGAUGCAUAUUUUCAUGACCAAAGGCUUCGGCCGGUAAAGGACGGGGAUGCGUCUGAUUAGCUUGCCGGCGGGGUAACGGCCCACCGGGGCGACGAUCAGUAGGGGUUCUGAGAGGAAGGUCCCCCACAUUGGAACUGAGACACGGUCCAAACUCCUACGGGAGGCAGCAG